CUGGAUGGCGAUGGGCAUCAUCUUGCACUCGGGCCCGAAGUGCAGCAGGCAGAGGGGGGCGCAGUUGUGCUGCUUCCGGCCGCUGAGCUCGACGGUGGGGAAGCCCUCCAAGAUGCGGUAGUCGGCCAGAUGAUGGCAGCCCCAGCCAGGGCAGCCUGUGGAUCCCCACUGAGCGCAGGAACGAACAUUGACCAUGGUCUGCACCGGGACUGAGACGCACUGCAGCCCGACAGAGCCUCCAGCCACAUGAAGCUCUGGUCCAUGGCUGGCCCAGGCAGUGGGGGCCUCUUCUCCAGUCCCUUGGACACAUCAGCAAGUGCCAUCGCAACACGUGCUUCCAGAAGGGAGAGGCAGAGAGAAGGAAAUCAGGGGUCUCUGUACCGGCCUGGAGAUGACCCGCAUCCCUUCUGCUCCCACCCAGCCGAAAUUCAUCUCGUGACUCCACCCAUCCACAAGAGGGCCAGAGGCUGAGUCUUCCAAGUCCAGGAGGAGAGCUGGAUUUUGGUGGCAACACUAACAAUUACCCAGACUCUGAGGCUUUACAAAAUACUUACUAUUCCACUUCUUAGUCCUCUGAAUCCAGACUUUCCUUCACCUCCUGAUGACGCUCUCUGGGAGGUGAAGGCAGGAAUACAUGGCUUGACUGAACAGUGGGUUGAGCCAGGACCCUUCUGUCCCCAGAGUGGAUAAUCCAUGGAUUCCUGUCUCCAGAACAGACGACCCACGGAUCCAUUGCUGCCCCCGCACUGCACCCCUCCCACCCUCACCCACUC